UACGGAGGGUCCAAGCGUUAUCCGGAAUCAUUGGGUUUAAAGGGUCCGUAGGCGGGAUGAUAAGUCAGUGGUGAAAUCUCUCGGCUUAACCGAGAAACUGCCAUUGAUACUGUCGUUCUUGAAUUUGGUCGAAGUGGGCGGAAUAAGUAGUGUAGCGGUGAAAUGCAUAGAUAUUACUUAGAACACCGAUAGUGAAGACAGCUCACUAGGCCUGAAUUGACGCUGAGGGACGAAAGCGUGGGGAGCGAAC
rnacentral:rRNA from 1 species